rnacentral:misc_RNA from 1 species
GCAAACUUGGUCAUUUAGAGGAAGUAAAAGUCGUAACAAGGUUUCCGUAGGUGAACCUGCGGAAGGAUCAUUACCAAUCUUUUGCCUCGUUUUUUACCGAAGCAAAAAAACAUCCCGUCAACCUGUUGCACUUGUUUAAUAGUUCUUUGUGUGCAGCCUGUUCCUCUGCCUUUGCUGUGCUGGGGGUACACUGCACACUAUUAUAUACUACAAACAAUCUCAACAACCAACCAAUAUACUACAAACUGAUCAUAUAACAAACAAAACAAACAAAAUACAACUUUCAACAAUGGAUCUCUUGGCUCUCGCAUCGAUGAAGAACGCAGC